GACGAACGCUGGCGGCGUGCUUAACACAUGCAAGUCGAACGGAAAGGCCCUGCUUUUGUGGGGUGCUCGAGUGGCGAACGGGUGUGUAACACGUGCGUAACCUGCCCUUGACUUUGGGAUAACUUCAGGAAACUGGGGCUAAUACCGGAUAGGAGCUCCUGCUGCAUGGUGGGGGUUGGAAAGUUUCGGCGGUUGGGGAUGGACUCGCGGCUUAUCAGCUUGUUGGUGGGGUAGUGGCUUACCAAGGCUUUGACGGGUAGCCGGCCUGAGAGGGUGACCGGCCACAUUGGGACUGAGAUACGGCCCAGACUCCUACGGGAGGCAGCAGUGGGGAAUAUUGCACAAUGGGCGGAAGCCUGAUGCAGCAACGCCGCGUGCGGGAUGACGGCCUUCGGGUUGUAAACCGCUUUCGCCUGUGACGAAGCGUGAGUGACGGUAAUGGGUAAAGAAGCACCGGCUAACUACGUG
rnacentral:rRNA from 1 species